rnacentral:lncRNA from 1 species
GCCCCUUCCGCUGCGGGCGCCCGCCCCGCCAGAAAGGCCCGCACGUGGUGCACUGGCUCGCUGGCGCCGGCGCAGCGACCCCUAGUGGGCGCUGAUCCUCGGAGGACCGCCCCAGGCCGAGCUGAGCCAGGCCGCUUGCCCGGCGUGGUUCUGUGUGGUUCAAGAGAGAUUGGUUACAAGGCAGUGGUCCUUUCUCUGAAGUCGCCAAUACAUUUUAACAACAACGGUAUCAUCAGAAAAAUGCUGACCCGAGAGGACUCCAGCUGGGCUCCAUUGAUACCGAGGAUGAGUAGGCACGGAAAUAUUUCCAGCCUGCAUCAUGGAGGAUUGCAAAGGACUUGUACUAAGCCUCUUAGUUAUUCUGAGUUAUCAAUCAUUGAUCAGGGCAGUGAAGAGAAUCCCUCAGCAGGCUUUACGUAAAUGUACCCUUCUAUUCCCUAACUCGGUAGAGGUGACCCGGAAGAAUACAUUUCUAACCCAUUCUGCAAGACCGAGACCAAGAGGAGGCCAAGGAGAAGGAAAGGCAAGAUCGGGAAAAGGCAGCUGCCCCAGUGGACGCCUUCUGGAGGGUCAGUUAAACCCUAGGGCUCUAAAGGCGAUUCUUCCACUUGCUGCCACUGCGAGGGAAAGCCAAGACACUUGCAUAGGGACUGUGAUGGGCAUCACAGCCACGGAAGGGCAAGGAGCCGCCUCCCCUGCUCCUCUGCAGACGGAACCAUGGAAAGCUGACUGUCCCCCAGGGCUGAAGGUCUCUGGGAUUUGGUCCAACAAGAAGACUGAGGGGGCCAUGGCACCCUUCACAAGCCCCCAUAAAUCAGACGGCUGUCACUGCUCGGGCCCUGGGUGACUCUAACUGUAGCAGGGAAGAAAAAUCAAUCUCCUCCUUGAUUCGGGGGCUGCCAUUUCUUUUCUCCUCUCUGAUCUUGGCCUGCCCUCCUCCAUCAGUUGGGCCCUCAGAGUGUGACUGAAGGCCUCUGACCAUUGCCAUUCUGAGCUGAGCAGAGAUUACACUACUGCCCGCCCCUGGGGUUGUAUACCUGCUAGAAAUGUAUAAUCAUGGGUUGAUAAGGCCCAGUAACCAUGGCUGCGAUCUAUAACUCCAUCAUUAAUCAAUCCUGUGCUUCACAAGUGCCCCAGGCCCACUGACAUAGCUACAAUCCACAACUCCCACCAUUCCUCAGCCCUGUGCUUGACAAGUAAUCGCACCUCCUUGUGCGUUCUCAAACCUUGUCCCUAAGUGGUAAGUGCAACUCCUUUUCAGUGAACCCCACCCCCACCAUGAUCC